rnacentral:rRNA from 1 species
AGUGAACGCUGGCGGUAGGCCUACACAUGCAAGUCGAACGGCAGCACAGUAAGAGCUUGCUCUUACGGGUGGCGAGUGGCGGACGGGUGAGGAAUACAUCGGAAUCUACUUUUUCGUGGGGGAUAACGUAGGGAAACUUACGCUAAUACCGCAUACGACCUACGGGUGAAAGCAGGGGAUCUUCGGACCUUGCGCGAUUGAAUGAGCCGAUGUCGGAUUAGCUAGUUGGCGGGGUAAAGGCCCACCAAGGCGACGAUCCGUAGCUGGUCUGAGAGGAUGACCAGCCACACUGGAACUGAGACACGGUCCAGACUCCUACGGGAGGCAGCAGUGGGGAAUAUUGGACAAUGGGCGCAAGCCUGAUCCAGCCAUACCGCGUGGGUGAAGAAGGCCUUCGGGUUGUAAAGCCCUUUUGUUGGGAAAGAAAAGCAGCAGGUUAAUACCCCGCUGUUCUGACGGUACCCAAAGAAUAAGCACCGGCUAACUUCGUG